rnacentral:rRNA from 1 species
AACCUGCGGAGGGAUCAUUACCGAGUGAGGGCCCCGUGCCCGACCUCCAACCCUUUGUGAACCCAUCUCGUUGCUUCGGGGGCGGCCCUGCCGGCAUCCGUCGGCGGGCGCCCCCGGGGGUCUGCCAACACUGCAUCUCUGCGUCGGAGUUUGAAUCAAUCAUACAAAACUUUCAACAACGGAUCUCUUGGUUCUGGCAUCGAUGAAGAACGCAGCGAAAUGCGAUAAGUAAUGUGAAUUGCAGAAUUCAGUGAAUCAUCGAAUCUUUGAACGCACAUUGCGCCCUCUGGUAUUCCGGAGGGCAUGCCUGUUCGAGCGUCAUUUCACCACUCAAGCCUGGCUUGGUAUUGGGCGUCGCGGUCCGCCGCGCGCCUCAAAGUCUCCCGGCUGAGCUGUCCGUCUCCUAGCGUUGUGGAAUCAACUAUUCGCUUGGGAGCGCGGGCGGCCGCGGCCGUUAAAUCUCCAUUGAAAGGUUGACCUCGGAUCAGGUAGGGAUA